UUCAGACCUGGCUGGGCGGUCUGCCUAACGGUAUGUACUGUCUGGCUGGGUCUUACUUCUUGGUGAGCCGGCAUGCCCUUCAUUGGGUGUGUCGGGGAACCAGGACUUUUACCUUGAGAAAAUUAGAGUGUUCAAAGCAGGCCUAUGCCCGAAUACAUUAGCAUGGAAUAAUAAGAUAGGACGUGCGGUUCUAUUUUGUUGGUUUCUAGAGUCGCCGUAAUGAUUAAUAGGGAUAGUUGGGGGCAUUAGUAUUCAGUUGCUAGAGGUGAAAUUCUUGGAUUUACUGAAGACUAACUAUUGCGAAAGCAUUUGCCAAGGAUGUUUUCAUUAAUCAAGAACGAAGGUUAGGGGAUCGAAAACGAUCAGAUACCGUUGUAGUCUUAACAGUAAACUAUGCCGACUAGGGAUCGGGUGAACUCAAUUUUAUGUGUCGCUCGGCACCUUACGAGAAAUCAAAGUCUUUGGGUUCUGGAGGGAGUAUGGUCGCAAAGCUGAAACUUAAAGGAAUUGACGGA
rnacentral:rRNA from 1 species